rnacentral:rRNA from 1 species
AUUGAACGCUGGCGGCAGGCCUAACACAUGCAAGUCGAGCGGAUGACGGGAGCUUGCUCCUUGAUUCAGCGGCGGACGGGUGAGUAAUGCCUAGGAAUCUGCCUGGUAGUGGGGGACAACGUUUCGAAAGGAACGCUAAUACCGCAUACGUCCUACGGGAGAAAGCAGGGGACCUUCGGGCCUUGCGCUAUCAGAUGAGCCUAGGUCGGAUUAGCUAGUUGGUGGGGUAAUGGCUCACCAAAGCGACGAUCCGUAACUGGUCUGAGAGGAUGAUCAGUCACACUGGAACUGAGACACGGUCCAGACUCCUACGGGAGGCAGCAGUGGGGAAUAUUGGACAAUGGGCGAAAGCCUGAUCCAGCCAUGCCGCGUGUGUGAAGAAGGUCUUCGGAUUGUAAAGCACUUUAAGUUGGGAGGAAGGGCAGUAAGUUAAUACCUUGCUGUUUUGACGUUACCGACAGAAUAAGCACCGGCUAACCCUGUGCCAGCAGCCGCCGUAA